GACGAAGGGGGCUAGCGUUGUUCGGAAUUACUGGGCGUAAAGCGCGUGUAGGCGGCUUUGCAAGUCGGAUGUGAAAGCCCACGGCUCAACCGUGGAAGUGCAUCCGAAACUGCAUGGCUCGAGUCUCGGAGAGGAAGGUGGAAUGCUUGGUGUAGAGGUGAAAUUCGUAGAUAUCAAGCAGAACACCUGCGGCGAAGGCGGCCUUCUGGACGAUGACUGACGCUGAGACGCGAAAGCGUGGGGAGCAAACGGG
rnacentral:rRNA from 1 species